rnacentral:tRNA from 1 species
GGGCCCGUAGCUCAGCCCGGUAGAGCGGCGGGCUUUUAACCCGUAGAGCUAUACGCGCGGAGGUCCCGGGUUCAAAUCCCGGCGGGCCCGCCA